UUUUACGACAUUUGGUGUCCGAAAACACAAUUAAGACAUUUUGUUAAGUCAUUCUGAAACCUGUCGGUUUCUUACGUCAUGUGCGUUACGUCGCGUUACGCGAAUUUAUGUUGCUUUCGUCUGUCUAGUUACGUCAUGUAGCCAGCUGUCAUGUUGGUUAAGCCAAGGUAAAUACGUCGCUGUGAAUGUUGAUUUGGUACUUAGGACAAAUCGAUCAUCCAGCAAAAAAGCAAGGAUCAGCAAUGAUUUACGGCGAGGGUGGUGGUACCUGUUCCUGGGAGGCCAACUUAUCACUCCGGAAAAGAUCACCCUGCAGCUACUGAAACGAGGAAGAAGAAUAACCGGUGCAGAAAUGCCUACGGAGAUAUGGCACAAAAAAGAAAUUAUCCUAUGUAAACGAGGAGAAAAUACCCGGUAAGAGAGCCGUAGUAUAGCAGCGACACGAACCGGAAGGAGCAAAACGGAAGACAACUGCAUACGAUAAUAAAAUCUCCGUACUUUCUACGAUUCACCGGCGGGGCUGUCAAGGGCCGCUCAAAUACAAAGGAAAUCUCUGGACCACAAGCCGCCAAACCCACAGAUGAAAAAACUGGACGUUUUCACCCACAUGUGCACACUCCAGCGAAAUGUCAUGAACUUGGCCAAUGCAGUGAACUUCGAUGACCGAGAAACGAUUGCGUGAGGUGUGCAAAAUUCACAAAUCCGGUUACUCGAUCGAGCUGGAAACCACUCUAGUGGACUUCUUGGACUUGCGCUGGAAACAACAUCAACAUCUCGGUCAUCGUCAGGAGCGAAAAUCUUCCCAAAUGCUUACUGACGGUGUUGGACAACGAGUGUCGCUGCUAUCAGCACUUGCUCCACGAGGUAGUAGGAAAUCGAGCACGAAGUGGACAGUCUUCGCGGCACAGAUGUUGAUAUCCUCGCGGCACAGAUGUCGAUCUUCCACGAGGACAAUAAUGAAACCAUGACCGGACAGUACAAAAGUGAUCAGUACACUGGAGAAACGGAAACGACUUGCAGAAGAACAAAGCUCUGAUGAAAUCGCUGACCAAGAAUGGCCAACCAGCAGGAAUUGGCAAGAAUGGUGAGAUCCAGAGAAAAUAGGUAGAGAAGCGAAGAGUGUGAAGCCAAAAAUACCUUAUCGAACCGUCAAACUGGUAUCCUAUCGAACAAAAUCAACAAACCGUGACGAUUGUCGCAUAAUUAAGAAUAGGUAUUGCAAUCAUUUAAAACAUUUUUUCACCAAAAUGUUUAAAUAUCAAGAAUUUCACUGUAAAUAACAUUGACUCCUUAAAUUGAUGAAAA